rnacentral:rRNA from 1 species
GAUGAACGCUGGCGGCGUGCCUAAUACAUGCAAGUCGAGCGAACAGACGAGGAGCUUGCUCCUCUGACGUUAGCGGCGGACGGGUGAGUAACACGUGGAUAACCUACCUAUAAGACUGGGAUAACUUCGGGAAACCGGAGCUAAUACCGGAUAAUAUAUUGAACCGCAUGGUUCAAUAGUGAAAGACGGUUUUGCUGUCACUUAUAGAUGGAUCCGCGCCGCAUUAGCUAGUUGGUAAGGUAACGGCUUACCAAGGCAACGAUGCGUAGCCGACCUGAGAGGGUGAUCGGCCACACUGGAACUGAGACACGGUCCAGACUCCUACGGGAGGCAGCAGUAGGGAAUCUGCCGCAAUGGGCGAAAGCUUGACGGAGCAACGCCGCGUGAGUGAUGAAGGUCUUCGGAUCGUAAAACUCUGUUAUUAGGGAAGAACAAAUGUGUAAGUAAAUAUGCACGUCUUGACGGUACCUAAUCAGAAAGCCACGGCUAACUACGUG